AGUUAAACAGUACGUGAAAUUGUUGAAAGGGAAACGAUUGAAGCCAGUCGUACCUUCGGGUAAUCAGCCUUUCGGGUGCGAUUCUGUGGGGUUUGAGGAGCUUAACACCUUCAUGCUUUGCAUAUUCGUGCUCUUGGGUGUACUUGCCCGUGUGGUUGGUUAACAUCAAUUUUGGUGGUCAUAAAAUGACUGGAGGAAUGUAGCUUCGAUCUCGUAUUGAAGUGUUAUAGCCUUCGGUAGAUGUGAUGAUCGAGAUUGAGGAUUGCAACGGAUACCCUUCGGGGCUACCUGUCUGAUCUCUGAUCGUUGCUCUGGUGCCGAAAGCUUGCUUACGGUUAUCAAAGUCGAUGGUCAAUAGGUUAGAAUGGGUUAAAUUCGUUAAGGAUGUUGACGUAAUGGCUUUAAA
rnacentral:misc_RNA from 1 species